rnacentral:rRNA from 1 species
AGCCGCGGUAAUUCCAGCUCUCAAAGUGCAUAGAAUUAUUGCUGCGGUUAAAAAGCUCGUAGUUGGAUCUGUGCCAUAGGACGUGGUCCACCUUCGGGUGCGUACUACGCUCCUAGGCUUUUUGCUGGUUUUCCCGUCGUAGCCUUCACUGGUUGCGGCGGGUGGCUGGCGAGUUUACUUUGAGAAAAUCAGAGUGCUCAAUACAGGCGUAUCGCUUGAAUGAUUGUGCAUGGAAUAAUAGAAAAGGAUUUCGGUCCUCUUUUAUUGGUUUUGUGGACUGAGAUAAUGGUUAACAGGGACAAACGGGGGCAUUCGUAUCUCUGCGUGAGAGGUGAAAUUCUUGGACCGUAGAGAGACGCCCUACUGCGAAAGCAUUUGCCAAGAAUGUCUUCAUUAAUCAAGAACGAAAGUCAGAGGUUCGAAGGCGAUCAGAUACCGCCCUAGUUCUGACCGUAAACGAUGCCAACUAGCGAUCCGCCGGUGGAUUUUUAGCCCUGGUGGGUAGCUUCCCGGAAACGAAAGUCUUCCGGUUCCGGGGGAAGUAUGGUUGCAAAGCUGAAACUUAAAGGAAUUGACGGAAGGGCACCACCAGGAGUGGAGCCUGCGGCUUAAUUUGACUCAACACGGGGAAACUCACCCGGCCCGGACACCGUAAGGAUUGACAGAUUGAUAGCUCUUUCAUGAUUCGGUGGUUGGUGGUGCAUGGCCGUUCUUAGUUCGUGGAUCGAUUUGUCUGGUUUAUUCCGAUAACGAGCGAGACUCUAGCCUACUAAAUAGUAACGAGAUUAUCAAUGUCUCAGUUGCUUCUUAGAGGGAUUUUCGGUGUUUAGCCGCACGAGAUUGAGCAAUAACAGGUCUGUGAUGCCCUUAGAUGUCCGGGGCUGCACGCGCGCUACACUGGCGAAAUCAGCGUGCUGUAUCCAUUCUCGAAAGGGAUUGGUAAACCCAUGAAAAUUUGCCGUGCUUGGGAUCGGAAAUUGCAAUUAUUUUCCGUGAACGAGGAAUUCCAAGUAAGUGCGAGUCAUCAACUCGCUCUGAUUACGUCCCUGCCCUUUGUACACACCGCCCGUCGCUGCCCGGGACUGAGCCAUUUCGAGAAGAUCAGGGACUGGUGGACUGUGGCCUCUUCGGAGGUCCGGUUCGCUGGAAACUGAUUUGAUCGCAGUGGCUUGAACCGGGCAAA